GGACAACCUACCCUCCGGACGGGUAUAAACCCGGGAAACUGGGUAUAAUCCCCGAUAGAUCUCGGUCGCUGGAAAGCCCCAAGAUCGAAAGCUCCGGCGCCAGAGGAUGGGUCUGCGGCCUAUCAGGUAGUAGUGGGUGUAGCGUACCUACUAGCCUACGACGGGUACGGGUUGUGAGAGCAAGAGCCCGGAGAUGGAUUCUGAGACACGAAUCCAGGCCCUACGGGGUGCAGCAGGCGCGAAAACUUUACAAUGCCGGCAACGGCGAUAAGGGGACCUCGAGUGCCAGGUUACAAAUCUGGCUGUCGUGAUGCCUAAAAAGCAUUGCAUAGCAAGGGCCGGGCAAGACCGGUGCCAGCCGCCGCGGUAACACCGGCGGCUCGAGUGGUAACCGUUGUUAUUGGGUCUAAAGGGUCUGUAGCCGGCCGGAUAAGUCUCUUGAGAAAUCCAGCAGCUCAACUGUUGGGCUUUCAGGAG
rnacentral:rRNA from 1 species